ACCACUGAGCCACCUUCCCAGCCCCUUAAAUAAUAUUUUUUAAAGAAUAGUUUUCCAGGGGCUGGGAAGGUGGCUCAGUGGU
rfam:Dipodomys ordii contig_34424, whole genome shotgun sequence.